rnacentral:rRNA from 1 species
CCCUUAGAUGUUCUGGGCCACACGCGCGCUACACUGAUGCAUUCAACGAGUCCAACCUUGACCGAGAGGUCCGGGUAAUCUUUGAAACUGCAUCGUGAUGGGGCUAGAUUAUUGCAAUUAUUAAUCUUCAACGAGGAAUGCCUAGUAAGCGUGAUUCAUCAAAUCGCGUUGAUUACGUCCCUGCCCUUUGUACACACCGCCCGUCGCUCCUACCGAUUGAGUGUGUUGGUGAGGAGUUUGGAUUGGCCUCGGAAGGUGGUUCGCCACCGUCCGUAGCUGAGAAGUUCUCCAAACCGCCCCACUUAGAGGAAGGAGAAGUCGUAACA